AGAUUGAACGCUAGCGGGAUGCUUUACACAUGCAAGUCGAACGGCAGCGCGGACUUCGGUCUGGCGGCGAGUGGCGAACGGGUGAGUAAUAUAUCGGAACGUGCCCAGUAGCGGGGGAUAACUACGCGAAAGCGUGGCUAAUACCGCAUACGCCCUAUGGAUGAAAGCGGGGGAUCGCAAGACCUCGCGCGAUUGGAGCGGCCGAUAUCAGAUUAGCUAGUUGGUGGGGUAAAAGCCUACCAAGGCGACGAUCUGUAGCUGGUCUGAGAGGACGACCAGCCACACUGGAACUGAGACACGGUCCAGACUCCUACGGGAGGCAGCAGUGGGGAAUUUUGGACAAUGGGCGCAAGCCUGAUCCAGCAAUGCCGCGUGCAGGAUGAAGGCCUUCGGUUGUAAACUUAGCUUUUGUACGGUAACGAAACGGUUCGUACUUCUAAUACCAAGGGGUACUAAGUAGAACGGUAACCGUAAGAAAUAAGACGACCGGACUAACUACGU
rnacentral:rRNA from 1 species